AUUUUGUUUGUGAUGAUUCUACCAUCUGAAAACAUCUCGCUAAUAAAACAAUAAAAAAUAAUAAUUAAAAAUUAAAUAAUGAAUAAAAUUAAAAUAAGGUGUUUGGGAUUUUUCUAGCCACAUGAUCCACAGCUGAAAACUUAUUGCCAUUUUAUUAAAAAAACAUCAUAAUUAAAAAAUAAUAAAUAAAAUAAAAAUAAUUUGUUUGUUUGUAAGGUCCGCAUUAUAUGGAUGUGUUAUGAUGAUGCAAUGUGACUUCUGUUUUCCCAGAAGUUCCUGUGGAAAACCCCAUUCCUGUCCCACCCAGUGACCCAGUAAUGACUUUAUUCAGAAGCAGAGAUACUUCCGUUUUGUUAAUUAACUGGCCGAGUGAUGGCCACAGUAAUCCCUCAAUCCGGUUCAGACAUGGAUUAUUUAUCCGUCCUGUCAUACGGGAGCGGGGACAACAUGCGUGAAUCCCACACUGAUGUCCUCUGCUCUGCUCCUGCACGACUGCGCCAUAAUCUACAUGUUAUAAUCCAUGCAUGCAUGACGGGGCGUAAACACACUUCCUCUGCGUUUCCGGCAGGAUUACUCUAUGAGGAAGUGAAGAUUUACACUGUGUGUGUGUGCUGUACAGUUUCUCCAUCUCACAGAAGCUGCCUGAACUGCACAGAGUGAGCUGUUAAAAGUCGGACAAUUCCCACUCUCCCUCUGCUUUUAGUAAGGCAGAACAGGGGAAAAGAUUAAGAGAGCAGUUCACUGAUGGGAAGAGGACGUGGCACAGACCCCCGAGACAUUACUGAGUGACAUCGAAAGACGGUCGAGCCAGAGGAAUCUUGGCAUUGAGACUUAAAGGUGCUGUAUGUAAGUUUUUGACUCUACUAAACCAUAAAAAUACCAUAAUAUGUUUGCAGAUAUUUAAGAAACAUGCUAAGUUUACAUACUUGUUUAUCUAAAAAACAAUGCUACGGUCAGUUAUUCUCCUUUGAAAAUGUGCGUUACGGGCCGGAAUGUCAGUCUCUGUUUUGGUUUGUGAAACCCGCCCACUGCCAGUUUACCCAAUUGUAUUUCGGCACCCCGGGUUGCCAGUUAGCAGAAAACACAUCGUAUUUAAUUUCAUUCAUCAUCAAGUGCGCUCGUUCCUGUUGGUGAUGUCAAUCUGGCAACCUACGUGUGCGUCAAGUCUGAGGAGGAAGGGCCGGGUGAAAAAAACCCUAUCAAAUAAUUUUUAAUUUGGACUGCAAUACCUAAUUCAACCACUUGGUGUCAAUCCUACAUACAUCACCUUUAAAGGGUCAUGAAACUCCCUGUUUCAGCACUGGUUAGUUCUCACCACGGUUUUAAAAAAUGCUAAAAAAGUGGGCGUGGUGCACUGCGGAGUGGAGGGGGAAGAGGGGAGACAGACAGCAUGGGUUUCAGAAAGUUUCAUUUCACUCCCAUCGAAUUAAAAACACAAAUAAUGCACAGCCAUGUGCACUCUGCAUCAAAAACAUUUUAUGUGAACACGCUGUUGCACCUCUGAUAACUUGAGGCUUAUUUUGCGGCAUUUAUAUAAGCUUUUUGAUGGGUUGUGUCACAGAGCUGUAAAAAUGGUUAUACUCACUAAGUGAAUGAAUCGCAUUUGUGUCGAACUCUUAUUACAAAGCAAAACUCUUUUCUUCGAUUCGUGAUCAUUUCU
ensembl:lncRNA